rnacentral:sRNA from 15 species
GAUGGAAUCGAAGGUGCAAAUGGAUAUGUCCAAGUAUAUUACUUAGAUGAGGAUGAUGAU